rnacentral:rRNA from 1 species
UACGAAGGGGGCUAGCGUUGUUCGGAUUUACUGGGCGUAAAGCGCACGUAGGCGGAUCGUUAAGUCGGGGGUGAAAUCCUGGAGCUCAACUCCAGAACUGCCUUCGAUACUGGCGAUCUUGAGUCCGGAAGAGGUGGGUGGAACUCCUAGUGUAGAGGUGGAAUUCGUAGAUAUUAGGAAGAACACCAGUGGCGAAGGCGGCUCACUGGUCCGGUACUGACGCUGAGGUGCGAAAGCGUGGGGAGCGAACAGG